CAGCAGCCGCGGGAAUACGAAGGGUGCAAGCGUUAAUCGGAAUUACUGGGCGUAAAGCGCGCGUAGGUGGUUUGUUAAGUUGGAUGUGAAAGCCCCGGGCUCAACCUGGGAACUGCAUCCAAAACUGGCAAGCUAGAGUACGGUAGAGGGUGGUGGAAUUUCCUGUGUAGCGGUGAAAUGCGUAGAUAUAGGAAGGAACACCAGUGGCGAAGGCGACCACCUGGACUGAUACUGACACUGAGGUGCGAAAGCGUGGGGAGCAAACAGGAUUAGAUACCCCCGUGUCCCUGUCUCUUAUACA
rnacentral:rRNA from 1 species